CCUACGGGAGGCAGCAGUAGGGAAUCUUCCACAAUGGGCGAAAGCCUGAUGGAGCAACGCCUCGUGGGUGAAGAAGGUCUUCGGAUCGUAAAACCCUGUUGUUAGAUAAGAAAGUGCGUGAGAGUAACUGUUCACGUUUCGACGGUAUCUAACCAGAAAGCCACGGCUAACUACGUGCUCGCAGCCGCGGUAAUACGUAGGUUGCAAGCGUUAUCCGUAUUUAUUUGGAGUAAAGGGAACGCAAGCGGUCUUUUAAGUCUUAUGUGAAAGCCUUCGGCUUAACCGGCGUAGUGCAUUGGAAACUGGGAGACUUGAGUGCAGAAGAGGAGAGUGGAACUCCAUGUGUAGCGGUGAAAUGCGUAGAUAUAUGGAAGAACACCAGUGGCGAAAGCGGCUCUCUGGUCUGUAACUGACGCUGAGGUUCGAAAGCGUGGGUAGCAAACAGGAUUAGAUACCCUUGUAGUC
rnacentral:rRNA from 1 species